rnacentral:rRNA from 1 species
AGGACGACGCUGGCCGGCGUCGCCUAAUACAUGCAGGUCGAGCGGACCGACGGGAGCUUGCUCCUUUAGGUCAGCGGCGGACCGGGUGAGUAACACGGUGGGUAACCUGCCUGUAAGACUGGGAUAACUCCCGGAAACCGGGGGCUAAUACCGGAUGCUUGAUUGAACCGCAUGGUUCAAUCAUAAAAGGUGGCUUUUAGCUACCACUUACAGAUGGACCCGCGGCGCAUUAGCUAGUUGGUGAGGUAACGGCUCACCAAGGCGACGAUGCGUAGCCGACCUGAGAGGGUGAUCGGCCACACUGGGACUGAGACACGGCCCAGACUCCUACGGGAGGCAGCAGUAGGGAAUCUUCCGCAAUGGACGAAAGUCUGACGGAGCAACGCCGCGUGAGUGAUGAAGGUUUUCGGAUCGUAAAACUCUGUUGUUAGGGAAGAACAAGUACCGUUCGAAUAGGGCGGUACCUUGACGGUACCUAACCAGAAAGCCACGGCUAACUACGUGCCAGCAGCCGCGGUAAUACGUAGGUGGCAAGCGUUGUCCGGAAUUAUUGGGCGUAAAGCGCGCGCAGGCGGUUUCUUAAGUCUGAUGUGAAAGCCCCCGGCUCAACCGGGGAGGGUCAUUGGAAACUGGGGAACUUGAGUGCAGAAGAGGAGAGUGGAAUUCCACGUGUAGCGGUGAAAUGCGUAGAGAUGUGGAGGAACACCAGUGGCGAAGGCGACUCUCUGGUCUGUAACUGACGCUGAGGCGCGAAAGCGUGGGGAGCGAACGAGGAUUAGAUACCCUGGUAGUCCACGCCGUAAACGAUGAGUGCUAAGUGUUAGAGGGUUUCCGCCCUUUAGUGCUGCAGCAAACGCAUUAAGCACUCCGCCUGGGGAGUACGGUCGCAAGACUGAAACUCAAAGGAAUUGACGGGGGCC